ensembl:snRNA U6 U6 spliceosomal RNA
AUGCUCGCUUCUGCAGCACAUACACUAAAGAUUAGCAUGGCCCCUGUGUAAGGAUGACAUGCAAAUUCGUAAAAUGUUCCAAUUUAAA